GACGAACGCUGGCGGCGUGCUUAACACAUGCAAGUCGAACGAUGAAGCCCAGCUUGCUGGGUGGUUUAGUUGCGAACGGGUGAGUAACACGUGAGUAAAGUGCCCGAGACUCUGGAAUAACUACCGGCAACGGUGGCUAAUACUGGAUAUGUGACAGGGAGGAAUCUUCUCUGGUUGGAAAGAUUUUUCGGUUUCGGAUCGGCUCACGGCCUAUCAGCUUGUUGGUGGGGUAAUGGCAUACCAAGGCGACGCCGGGUAGCCGGCCUGAGAGGUUGACCGGGCACACUGGUACUGAGACACGGACCAGACGGGUACGGGAGGCAGCAGGGGGGAGUAUUGCACAAUGAGCGCGAGCCUGAUGCAGCGGCGCCGCGUGAGGAAUGACGGCCUUCUGGUUGAGAACAUCUUUUAGUAGAGAAGAAGCGCAAGUGACGGUACCUACAGAAAAAGCACCGGCUAACUACGUG
rnacentral:rRNA from 1 species